UUGAAAAGAGUGAAAAUAAAAUCACAUUAUCCUUGAUGAGUGCAGGCAGUUUAAACAUGACAGCUGGUUCUUCGUUUGUGGACAUCUGCAGAAAGCUAACAGAAGUCAAUUUCCUGUGGAGAACAACUUUUUGUCUGCGUGUAUUUCAGGCUCAAUAACCUGAACAGCAUAAUUUCCAUCUCGGAGGAAUGAAUGACAGCCUUUAAACCAGCUAUGUUGGUUCACGCAAGAAGCCCUAUCCAGCCUGUAAUAGUGAAACCCUGCGGAGGUUGGACAAAAAGAGCUCAGGAACAAAUGAAACUCAUUCCAAAUGCACUGUAUACGGAGAUAACCACACCUUUCAGCUGAAUGCACAACAGCCUGCUAAAGCUCUUUGUACAAGAGACAGUGAACUGCAUAAAUCAUGAGAUGAGAUAGAGAGAGACGUGGUUCUGUUUGUUUCUUCAGGAGAACCUUUU